CCUAGGGAAGUAGAAAAACAAAUCCGGUAGCGUUGCUGGGGCCAGAGUAAAACCGGGGCGAGUCUCAGCGGUUUGAGGUUCUAGAAAGCUUUCACGUCUUAAGAGAAACACCUGCGGGUGAAGAGAGGCGUCAGCGGACUCUUGGAAGAGAUGAGAGCUGCAGGUCAGCUGGGUGGCUCUGCUUCAUCUUCUUCAUGUGCCUUGGACUAGUCAAGACAUGCUCUUCUCGUGGCGAUGACAGAGGUGCAAGAGGCCAGGCCCAACCACUCAAGCACAUUUCAUCCUCCUAUUUGUGUCACAUCUGCCAAGGCAAGUCACGCGGCCAAACCCAAAGUCAAGGAUUUGGGGAGGGAUAUUUCUCUUGUGGAGGUAAAAGGGGGAAGGAGUAAAUAUUUUGGAAAGGGCCAGCUACAGAAAAGUCAUUCAAGAGUGGGCUAUAGUUUGUUCGAUUAAAGGCAAGAGAAUUUUUGUUUUAGAGUUUUUCUUCUCAUUCUUCAUAAGUGAACAAGAAUGACUUUGCAGUGUACACCGCUCGGGUGAUGGGUGCACCAAAAUAUCAGAAAUCACCACUAAAUAACUUAUCCAUGUAAUCAGACACUACCUGUUUUCCAAAAACCUGUUGAAAUAAAAAUAAAUAAAUAAAAUCAAGCUAAAUGUCUUGUCAUUCAGAAACAAAAAAAAUAUGUAGAGAUGGUAUUGAUGUAGAAAUAGAGGCAUUUUGGGGUUUUAGAUAUUAAACAAAUAUGAAGAUUUCAUUAUCUGUUCAUGGUUAAACUGGCAUUGCCAAACUUUGAGGCCUGAAUCAAGCUUUGUCUGUUUUUAUUUUCCUGCAAGAUUCAGAUCCCAAAAGAAUUACUCUUAUUCUGAAUCCUGGCCAAGACUCAGUACAUACCAAUGAGUAUGCCUGUGGGUAAUUCUGCAAUCUGGAUAUCAAAAAAAACAGUCAAAUGGUCCAAAACUGAUAUUCCCUUAUCUGUACAGGAUUUCCCUAAUUGGUAACUAAUUUGUGCUUUAAGAUUUAUUCGAGCCCCUCAAUUUGGAAGGGGUUAAAGUUGAAGAUUACAACAGAUUUCACCAAGCUUAGUAUGCAUCAAUUCUUUUUUAUCCUAAGAAGGGGAGGAAAAUGUUUUCCUUACAUAGGAUUGAAAAGCCCUUAGUUAUAUUGUUCAUCUAUGGGAAGGAAAAUAACUGUUUUAAAACAAAGGAAGAGCAAAGAAAAUAGGGAUCAGAACAACAAGAAAUGUCCAUUAUGCUACUAGCACCAUAUGUGAACCACAGAGUGUCCAUAAACGAUGGUUGAUUUCAAUAGAAACAUUAGCUUGUACCUCCAGCUCUUGAGGGCAGUACAAAAAUCCAGAGCUGGGAGAUACCAGUAUGAUUUGCAAUCAUAACAAACCUCACAGAUCAGAUGGUUCUAGGACUGGAAUAUAAGAAUAGAUUGGUUUGAAUAGAAGAAGGAAAAAGCACUAGAAGACAGGCAAAGUGUAUGGGAAAGGUUUGGAGUCAAGAAUGAACAAAAAUGUUUAGGGGAUAAUGAGACCACCUUGACCCACAUAGGAAAGUGCUCAGAAAUUAGAUGGGUUCGAGAUCAUGGUGCCAGAUUAUAAGGGCCUUAAUAAGGGCAAGGAAUCUAAAUUGUUACACAGUAGAUGUUAGAAGCUGUUGGAAUUCCUUGGUGGGGAUAUUACUUAGUACAAACAACUUCAGUUGUCACAACAGACUAGUCUUCAUUGUGACUCUUGGCUAGCUUUUGACUUGGAGAUAGUAAUGAUCAUAGUGGACAAGAGGGGAUGAUUCAUGUGUGUUUCAGCUCCUUUACAAAUUUAAUUUUAGCCUGAAUCAUAGAAAGACUCUAAAGCCUUUUCCCAUGCAUUUGUUGGCAGCAGCGGCAUGUUCCCAUGGGAACACACACCACUUACCUACUCAAACCUUCCUUUUGCCCUCGGCUUUUAUUCAUUGAAAUGUUUAUCUUUUCUACAAAGCAUAUUUACACGUAAGCUUAGAGUACUGUCUAUUUUUUCUUCCACAACUGAGAAUUCAUCCUGAAUAUUUGCAGAUACAUAAAACUCCAGGUGUAACUCCAAGCAAAAUAUUAUUAAAGAAGGAAUUUGGAUAAACCUGGAAUGAUAACAUCACAUUGAACACCAUCUGGUGUAAACAUUUUACUUUUCUGCAGUGGCCAGAUGAAGGAAAUAUGGCUCUUUGUGCUUCUUCAGUGAUUAAUUCAGGAAGAAGCCUUUGCUGAGCUCAAAUAUAAAAUAGGAAGAACCCACCUUCUACAUGUUCGAGAAGGUUGUGAUCCCAGAAUGACACUGCCCUUUUCCUCUGCAAGAAAGAUGUUUCCCUUGACCAUCAUGCCAAAGCCACAAACACUUACAUUCCUCCAUAAUUCUGCACUGAACUCUGCUCACAUAGUACACAAUAAUUUCUCUACUACUUUGUUCCUCUUCCAAAUUCUAAUGGCUUGAAAUCCAAACUAGAGGAAGUUAAAUCAUAGCAACUGUACACUUUAGAGAAACUUUGAAUUUGGCUACUAGAGAUUUUCUGAGGUAUUGCUUUUCUUAAUUUAUAUGAAAACUGUUGAGCUAGGUUCUAGAUUAAGUGCUGGUGAUUCAGACAUGAAUAGGUCAUGAUGCCUCCUCUGGAGUGUUUCAGGGAAGACAGUUACAUAAAAACUAAGCUGUAAUAGAAUUUAAUAAGUCCUUUAAUGGAGGUAGAGAGUUCUGUGGAAACACAGAGAAAGAAUAAUUGCUGCUUCAGUUUCAAGGAGGACUUCACAGGGCAGAAGGCAUUUGGGCAAGUCUUGAAGGAUAAGCCAGGACUCCCUAAGUGGGAUGAGGGCACUUGAGGUGAAGAAAGAUGAAUAAAAGCAUCAAAGUGCA